CUCGUAUUUCAUGGUAGAAAACACAGACUCACAGACGUACGUUGAGCCAAACAUUGACAUGCCCGUGCAAUGUUCCAAGCCAGUUUAUACGAUGCAAGUGUUACUGUCUCUGACUGCUUCGUAAAUUUUUUGAAAACCUGUACCUGCUUUUCUGCCUGACUUUUCAAAGUGGUCAGUUUGUGCUUGCGAAGUUCAGUCCCUUUUGGAAAUUCCUGGUCAAUGUUAGCGUGGAGUGAGCUGAAGUGACGCUGAAGAUUUGAAGCCUUGAAAUGCACCAAUGACGACUGACAUAUAAGGCAGAAUGGCUUGCCAUUACGUUCGAC